rnacentral:tRNA from 1 species
AAAAAAUUAGUUAAAUUUAUAACAUUAACUUGUCAAGUUAACAUUAUCUAUUAUUAGAUAUUUUUUG